rnacentral:rRNA from 1 species
CAGUAGCCGCGGUAAUACGGAGGGCGCGAGCGUUACCCGGAUUUACUGGGCGUAAAGGGCGUGUAGGCGGCCUGGGGCGUCCCAUGUGAAAGGCCACGGCUCAACCGUGGAGGAGCGUGGGAUACGCUCAGGCUAGAGGGUGGGAGAGGGUGGUGGAAUUCCCGGAGUAGCGGUGAAAUGCGCAGAUACCGGGAGGAACGCCGAUGGCGAAGGCAGCCACCUGGUCCACUUCUGACGCUGAGACGCGAAAGCGUGGGGAGCAAACCGGAUUAGAUACCCCUGUAGUCCCUGUCUCUUAUAC